CUUCUUGCUGUAGCAAACUGUGGUAGAAAUGUGGGGAAUGCUGCAGAACAGAGCAGGAGGACUCACUCUGCUUUGUUAAAGGGCUCUGCAGAAACGACCACAGACAGGCCUGAACUUGUUGUCUCGAACCGCCAGUUUUUAAGGACCUGAAGAGAAGAGCUUCAGCUGAAAACAUCUGCGCUCUGAUGAGAGAGGUGUCACCACUUCGUCCGCGAUCGCUGAGACGUGGUCCAUGAUCGGAGAGACAUUGUUGAGGAUGAGGGAGACAUCGUCCACGAUCAGAGACGUUGUCCAUGAUCACAGAGACCUUGUCAAAGAUGAGAGAGACGUUGUCCAUGGUCAGAGACAUUGUCCCAUGCUUCGUAGAGACCUUGCGAUAGAAUCGGCGGAGACGGGGGUCACCGAUUUGACGGCACUGCCCGCGAUCAUGGAGACAUUGUCGAUGAUCACAGAGACAGCGUCUAUGAUCUCAGAGACAUCGUCCACGAUCACAAAGACACUGUCCAUGAUCACAGAGACUUUGUCCAUAAUCUCAGAGACAUUGUCCGCGAUCACAGAGACGUAGUCCACGAUCAGAGUCUUCAUACAAUGAAGAAGUUCUUUGAGACCAGGACUGAGUCCUCCAGGUGUCACCACUUUGUCCGCGAUCGCUGAGACAUGGUCCAUGAUCGGAGAGACAUUGUUGAGGAUGAGGGAGACAUCGUCCACGAUCAGAGACGUUGUCCAUGAUCACAGAGACCUUGUCAAAGAUGAGAGAGACGUUGUCCAUGGUCAGAGACAUUGUCCCAUGCUUCGUAGAGACCUUGCGAUAGAAUCGGCGGAGACGGGGGUCACCGAUUUGACGGCACUGCCCGCGAUCAUGGAGACAUUGUCGAUGAUCACAGAGACAGCGUCUAUGAUCUCAGAGACAUCGUCCACGAUCACAAAGACACUGUCCAUGAUCACAGAGACUUUGUCCAUAAUCUCAGAGACAUUGUCCGCGAUCACAGAGACGUAGUCCACGAUCAGAGUCUUCAUACAAUGAAAAAGUUCUUUGAGACCAGGACUGAGUCCUCCAGGUAAUUCACAAACAGCUUUACAUCAACUGUCCAACACAGAGCACUGACAUUAAACUGUUUAUGUUCAGUAUUCAGUAUAUCAAAAACUGUCUAAAAAAUUUGCAUAGUAUAGUAAGGCAUCAGAAAUGGUCAAAAAAUGUCAUAGUAUAGUAUGGUGUCAAAAAUGGUCAAAAAAUGUCAUAGUAUAGUAUGGUGUCAAAAAUCAUGAAAAAAUGUCAUAGUAUAGUAAGGUGUCAAAAAUGGUCAAAAAAUGUCAUAGUAUAGUAUGGUGUCAAAAAAUGUCAUAGUAUAGUAUGGUGUCAAAAAUCAUGAAAAAAUGUCAUAGUAUAGUAAGGUGUCAAAAAUGGUCAAAAAAUGUCAUAGUAUAGUAUGGUGUCAAAAAUCAUGAAAAAAUGUCAUAGUAUAGUAUGGUGUCAAAAAUCAUGAAAAAAUGUCAUAGUAUAGUAAGGUGUCAAAAAUG